rnacentral:rRNA from 1 species
AUUGAACGCUGGCGGCAUGCUUUACACAUGCAAGUCGGACGGCAGCGGGGUAGUGCUUGCACUACUGCCGGCGAGUGGCGAACGGGUGAGUAAUAUAUUGGAACGUACCGAGUAAUGGGGGAUAACCAAUCGAAAGAUUGGCUAAUACCGCAUACGCUCUGAGGAGGAAAGCAGGGGACCUUCGGGCCUUGCGUUAUUCGAGCGGCCAAUAUCUGAUUAGCUAGUUGGUGGGGUAAGGGCCUACCAAGGCGACGAUCAGUAGCGGGUCUGAGAGGAUGAUCCGCCACACUGUGACUGAGACACGGCCCAGACUCCUACGGGAGGCAGCAGUGGGGAAUUUUGGACAAUGGGCGCAAGCCUGAUCCAGCCAUGCCGCGUGUCUGAAGAAGGCCUUCGGGUUGUAAAGGACUUUUGUUAGGGAAGAAAAAGGAGCGGUUAAUACCCGUUUCUGCUGACGGUACCUAAAGAAUAAGCACCGGCUAACUACGUG